AUCUUGUUGUAGAUUUCUUUCUACUGGAGGCCUUACAAAGGUAAGCAGUUUUUUUUCUUUCAUUUCUGCAACCACAGUUGCUGCAUUUGGGGUUGUUCUCAUUUGCUAUAGCCAAGGAUUGUGCUACUCUGCUAUUGUUGCUGUACUUUCCAUCACAUUACAGGGUGAAAGGUUAAUUGCCAGCAGGGUUAAAGCAAAUUAAAAGUAUAUGAUUAAAAAAAGUGCUGGGAAGAGGGGUACACCUAGGAAUAUCUCUUGAGUGGGAUGGUAUUAAUGAUGACUCAAAAGUAUCGAGGAAGUUACUGAAAGUUGGGCUGCCUGCAGAUCUUGGCAUUUGUCUUAGUACCAAAAGUCUUUGUUAAAUAGCAAUGAAGCUUCCAGCCAUCUGGUUCUGAACUCCAAAGCCAGACUGCCCUGAUUCCUCACGGUGUAGGGUCUCUUCCUUACCAUGUUGGAUUGGCUUCAAGAGGAAAAUCUCUGGGGCCAUGGAUGGGUUAACUGAAAGGAGUGAGAUUGUUAAGCACAGAUGUAUUAUGUCCUGCAACAAACAAACCCAGGGCCAGUCUGAGGAGCAAUGGCUUUAAUCCACGUUAUAUUUAUCACCUAAGCCUAGAGCAAAACUAAACUGUUGCAGGAUAACCAAAAGAAAAUCAAUCUAAAUAUAUAGUUGGAGUAGUUUGUGUUAGCUCACCUAUGCAGUGGACAGUAAUACCCAACCAAAGUCCUGAUCUGUGUCCAAAUGGGCUUCAGGUUAUCACUGUGAAACUAUGAUGGACAAAAGUUUAGCUGCGAACAUACACAUUCCUCUUUCCCAUAAGUACUCUGUAAGCAAAAUAGCUGAAGAUUCACUUGCACUUCUUAAAAGUAGGAGCUCUGGAGAGAAAACAACAAACAAACAACAACAACAACAAAAAAACAGUUAUGUAUGCCUAAAAUGGCAUAAAAAGAGAGUACAACAAAAGAGUGACAGAACAGCAUUGUAAGUAUGACAAACAAUUGCAGAGAAAUUACUUUAAAAGCUGUUUUUCCUUGUUACAUAAAUAAAUAAUUAGAAGCACCAAGUAGCACCCAACCUAUGGAUUUCAUAGAUGACUUUGGACCACAUGGCUCUCUAUCUCUGUCCUCCAUGUUCUGUGAGAGGAUGAGAAGACAGAAGGAGGUUUCUUCUUUUUUAAGAAUACCUAAUGAACAGGUAUAAAAGAAACACUGUCUCUCUGUGUUGUAAGGUGGAUGAGACUGGAAGUGAGCUCAGCUGUACACUGCUUGGGAGAGCUGAGGAUGGGCAAUGGCUGUGAUAGUGGCAGCCUCAUCUGGCUCAGGUAUCUGAGAAAGCGGUUCACUGGCUCAGCAUAUCCAUAAUUGUACCUAACUCUAUUUUUCUCUUGCAUAAAACUCGCACAAAUGCAGUUAGUAAAGCACUACAUUAUCAUGCACCCAGCUCUCUCACUAAUGUCAGGAAUUGAACCAGCUGGUGACUUAAUGAAGGUAAAUGUCUGUGCUGCAGCACCUCACAUGUGCUGAUGUAUGCAGGCUUUGGGAGCCAGAUGGGAUAACCUUUACAGCACUCUAUGUAUGCAGCACCAGCAGCCAAAGUGGACGAUAGUGUGAAAUUCCCUGCAAGAACACAGCCUUCAGCUUCAUGGCCAAGCAUUUAUUUGUACAGGACCUUGAUUUGCUCUGAUGAAGGCAGCUGUCAGACCUCUCAGGGAGCCAUGCUUUGUAAGUAACCAUGAUAUUUAGACCCUAUGACCUUUUAAGAAGCAUAAGAUCUGGCUUAAAGGGCAGCUUUCCUGAAAUAAAUAACUCUGAAACCUCUUAGGUCAAUUU
ensembl:lncRNA